rnacentral:rRNA from 1 species
GUUAUUCCUGUACUGCAGUAUAACAGAACUGUGGGGACACGUAAGGAGAGCGGGAGCCGGGAAUGGAAAGCCCGGUACAAGCGAGGUACCAGUAUGGUAGGAAAAUCCGCCAUGCAAUGGGAAGACGUGAUGUGGAGUGAAAUAUAGUAACGAAGCCCGUGAGCCAUGCGUCAAGAAAAGCCGCUAUUGUUUAUAUUGUACCCGUACCGUAAACCGACACAGGUGGAUGAGGAGAGAAUCCUAAGGCCGGCGGAAGAAGUAUUGCCAAGGAACUCGGCAAAAUGGCCCCGUAACUUAGGGAGAAGGGGUGCCUGCGAGAGCAGGCCGCAGAGAAUAGGCUCAAGCAACUGUUUAGCAAAAACACAGGUCUAUGCGAAACCGAAAGGUGAGGUAUAUGGGCUGACGCCUGCCCGGUGCUGGAAGGUUAAGAGGAGAGGUUAGACGCAAGUCGAAGCUUUGAAUUUAAGCCCCAGUAAACGGCGGCCGUAACAAUAACGGUCCUAAGGUAGCGAAAUUCCUUGUCGGGUAAGUUCCGACCCGCACGAAAGGCGUAAUGAUUUGAGCGCUGUCUCGGCAAUACAUCCGGUGAAAUUGAAGUGCCAGUGAAGAUGCUGGCUACCCGCGCCAGGACGGAAAGACCCCAUAGAGCUUUACUCCAGUUUGGCACUGGGGUCCGGUGUUGCAUGUACAGGAUAGGUGGGAGGCUGAGAGAUAGUGACGUCAGUUGCUAUGGAGCCGCUGUUGGGAUACCACCCUUGUGAUAUUGGGCUUCUAACCAGCCGCCGUGAACCGGCGGUGGGACAAUGCCAGGCGGGGAGUUUGGCUGGGGCGGUCGCCUCCGAAAGGGUAUCGGAGGCGCCCAAAGGUUCCCUCAGAAUGGACGGAAACCAUUCGAAGAGUGCAAAGGCAGAAGGGAGCUUGACUGCGACACCGACGGGUGGAGCAGGUACGAAAGUAGGGCUUAGUGAUCCGGUGGUAUUAAGUGGGAAUGCCAUCGCUCAACGGAUAAAAGCUACCCUGGGGAUAACAGGCUUAUCACUCCCAAGAGUUCACAUCGACGGAGUGGUUUGGCACCUCGAUGUCGGCUCAUCGCAUCCUGGGGCUGUAGCAGGUCCCAAGGGUUGGGCUGUUCGCCCAUUAAAGCGGUACGCGAGCUGGGUUCAGAACGUCGUGAGACAGUUCGGUCCCUAUCCGGCGUGGGCGCAGGAUAUCUGAGAGGAGCUGUCCUUAGUACGAGAGGACCGGGAUGGACGGACCGCUGGUGGACCGGUUGGCUUGCCAAAGCCAUGGCCGGGUAGCCAAGUCCGGAAGGGAUAAACGCUGAAGGCAUCUAAGCGUGAAGCCCCCCUCAAGAUGAGAUAUCCCAUUCUUUAAGAAGUAAACCCCCUUGAAGACGACGAGGUAGAUAGGGCAGAGGUGGAAGUGUGGUAACACAUGGAGCUGACUGUUACUAAUCGGGUGAGGGCUUGAUCA